GGAAGCGCGGAGCAAGGGACGGGAUCUGUUCUCCAGGGGGGCUGUCGUGCUCUGGGGAGAAGCGGCGUUUCCCGUGGCCGCGGCUGCGCUGUUCGGGAUGGGAGCCGUGGAGCAGGAGGGCAGCGCCCGCUGUGAGCGAGGGGAGCCCGGGCACCUCACCCCGGCCGGAGGCGUCCCUCCAGGCUGUUCCACCGCCCGAAACGCAGCCAGUGCGCUUUGCCACCAGCACAGGGAGGUGCCGUGAGCCAGAGCACAAGGCACCCGCAUGGAGCCAUCCCACCUUCCAUUCCCAACUGGCAUUCCCAGCCAGCACCGGCACGAUGCUGGAUGUUUUCCACGCUGCGUACACCCAUUGCCAUGCCGGGAUGGCUCGGACCCCAGGUCGGGUCACACUCUGACACAGCAUGUCCUGGGGAACAUCACCAACGCCAUUCUGGAGACUCACCUGAGGUGGAAAAGCACGUGAAAAUUCCUCUCACAUUAGGUUACCCGGGAUACUCCCUUCCCUCGGGACGGAGGAGGAGGAAACGCGCAUGAGCAAAAUCCCAGUGUCAAAUGGAAAACAGUAAAAGCGGGAGGGAAUUUUAUGGGCAAACAAAAGGAGGUAAAAAUAAUCUCGUCAGGAAAGGAGGGGGCUGCUCACGCGCCGGGCCAUCACGGUGCCAUACGGCCAUUAAACGUUAGGAAGGAUGCGGCAACAGAUACCACCGGCUGCUUCCUGGGUGGAGGGGUUGCCGGAGUGACAUGCUCUGGGUAAGACACUUUUCCCUAUGAAAUACUCACGCUCCCAUGCCUCAGACACACACCGCUCCAAACAGAUGCACCAAGGCUUCGGCAGAUCCCACCAGCUCAGUGCAGGUUUUAGGAUUUUGGAGCUAUUUUUGCUUAAAGAUUGGGAAAGAGAGUCCCUGGAGUCCUCUCUCCCAAGGGAAACAAGCUCUGUCAGGGCUUCCUUCCCACAUGGUUCUGGGGCCUGCCCAUGCCAAUUAUGUGUUCGCAGCACCCAGCACUGGAAAAUGAGCCUGAAACCGUGAUUUCCAGAGUAAAUAUGAGCUAUAGUUUUACUGUCUGAAUCUUGUACAAUGAAUGAAAGGGAAGCAGGGAGUACGGAACGAGGUGGUGGACCUGGAAUGCUGGUGGCCUCACUGUCCUUUUCACCGAAUAACUGCCCAGUGUCGUCACCGAUUUGUUUCAGGAAGAGGUUUGGGGUUCAUGUGUCAGGCGAAACGCUGGGCAGGAAAGCACAAAUUAGAGUCGUGUUUGUGCUUUUUAGCUGUAACUCAUUGAUUUAUGGAUUUUGAUGAAGUGAUUACAGAUGAAAGAAAACAUUCCAGGGAACAAGAUCAGCACGUUGCUGUGGUCUCAUGUCUUUCUGUGUGAGUUACAGUGGAAAAUAAAGCAAGAGAAUCACUGGG